GACGAACGCUGGCGGCGUGCUUAACACAUGCAAGUCGAACGGAAAGGCCCUGCUUUUGUGGGGUGCUCGAGUGGCGAACGGGUGAGUAACACGUGAGUAACCUGCCCUUGACUUUGGGAUAACUUCAGGAAACUGGGGUUAAUACCGGAUAUGAGCUCCUGCUGCAUGGUGUGUGUUGGAAAGUUUCGGCGGUUGGGGAUGGACUCGCGGCUUAUCAGCUUGUUGGUGGGGUAGUGGCUUACAAAGGCUUCGACGAGUAGCCGGCCUGAGAGGGUGACAGGCCACAUUGGGACUGAGAUACGGCCCAGAGUCCAACGGGAGGCAGCAGUGGGGAAUAUUGCACAAUGGGCGGAAGCCUGAUGCAGGAACGCCGCGUGCGGGAUGACGGCCUUCGGGUUGUAAACCGCUUUCGCCUGUGACGAAGCGUGAGUGACGGUAAUGGGUAAAGAAGCACCGGCUAACUACGUG
rnacentral:rRNA from 1 species